CGGGGUGUGGCUCAGAUGGUAGAGCGCCACGUUCGGGACGUGGAGGCCGCCCGUUCGAAUCGGGUCACUCCGA
rnacentral:tRNA from 1 species